rnacentral:antisense_RNA from 1 species
UGCUGACAACGCUCUUGUGUCAUUGUUAAACAAAUUAAACCACGACCAUGUGUUGCCAUAAAAUUGAUAGCAUCAGCACUAAUGUGCUCUGCUGCGAUAAUU